UUAUUUUUUAUAUUUUGUUUCUUAUAUCUAAAUGAUUGAUUUUGAUCUGAUGUGCAUAUUUGUUUGUUUUAUCUAUGUAUAUUUUUUUUUGGUUAUAUUCUUUUUGUUGUCUGUGAUUUUGGGUAUCCUUAUAAUCCGACAAAGCAGAGGAGGUGGUAGGGCAAUCACCAGGUUUGUUAUUGAAGGGUUCAAUCAUAUUUCAAGAGCUUUAAUACUAAAAAAAUUUGCAAACUGCAAUAUUCAGAAAGGUUGAAAAUGAGUGUUUUACAAGCACCGGAAACUCUUCAAUAAAAAAUGUUGAAGAAGAACAUUUGAGAAGCACUAGAAGAUAUGAGGUUCUAAUGAAUUGGUUAUCAUUACAAUAGCAUUGUGCACACUAAUUUACGCAAUGUGUUUGAUAUAUGGCUGAAAAUUGAGAUAACUGAAUAAUGUUUUUUUUGUUUCUUUUGUUUUUAUUUACCAUUUUGAAGCUUACUGUUCUUCCUUCUUCGGCAUGCAUAUGUGUGAGUUUUUUGCCAAGUAAUGUGAAGCAUAUUAUUUUUUCCUCGCAAAUUAUUGUUAUUAUUUUCUUCUGUUUUGGUUGUCUCUUCUUGUGAGUGUAUUGAUAUAUUUUUUCCCAUUUUGUUGCCCAGUCCUGGGCACAUGUUCUGAUGUUGCACAUUUUCAUGGAUCUUGAGUUUUUUUUGUAAAGGUAAAGAAAUGGAUCUUGAAAUUACUGAGAUAUGUGGAUCAAAAUAGUGUGAUCGGAGUUUUCAUUUUUAGUGUGGUCGGAGUUUUCAUGUAAAGGGUAAUAUGUUUGUCAUCAAUGGAGAUGGGCUUGAAGAGACAACAAGCAAUUUAUUGCUGCUUGGCUAAAGAAGCUCAGUUAUUACCUCAGCCUCUGUGACACAUGGUCUUCAAAGCUUAAUCAUUUAAAUACUCCAGACAAAAUACUCAGGCUACAAAGGCUUACGACAGGAGUAAAACUGAUUGAAGCCACAUCUAAAAGCUUCCGUCUGCAGCUUGAUUUCAGACAUGACAGUAGCGUCAACUACCAAAUAAACGUAUUCCUUCGAGCUACUGAAAUCCACUUGCAAAUUUCAUCCAAGACUGUGGAAUUCAAGCAUCAACCACGUCACAUUGCAGCAGAGAGGUAGACUUGAAGAGACAACAAAUAAUCUAUCGCUGCUUGGCUAAAGAAGUUCAAUUAGUAUCUCAGCCUCUGUGACACAUGGCUACUAAAGCUUACAACAGCAGUAAAAUUGGUUGAAGCCACGUCUAAAAGCUUCCGUCUGCAGCUUGAUUCCAGACAUGACGGUAACGUCAACUACCAAAUAAACGUAUUCCUUCAAGUUACUGAAAUCCCCCUGCAAAUUCCAUACAAGAGAAAGUGCAACAGAGAAAUUUCCUCGAGAUGAAUAUGCUGACCCAAAAAAUGAUGAGGAUGAAAAGGGUGACUAUCUGGGAGAUAAAGACAAUGCGGAUAACUUAAAGAUCAAAAUCAUGUGAAAGAAAUUCAACUAGCACGAGGACUAUCAUUUGCCAUUACUGCAAAGGUCAAGGAAAGGGUGCUGCCAAAGCUACAAGAAGUAAAAAGGGCAGUGACCAUGGAAGGAGUCGACCUCCAUCGGCAAACAAAAGCUCCCAGCCUGAAUGGAAGAGUACAACUUUUCUGGUUAAGUUAAAAGCUCUGAAUAUUUCCAUUGGCUGCUCAGUUGCACUUUAAAAAGUGAAUCAUUUUCAUCAUUAUUUUCAUUCUACAGUAUGAAAUUUAGCAAGUGUAAAGCAUUUGUGCUUUAAAUUGGUAACCUGUAUUGACAGAGACCAUUAACCGCCAAGAUAGAAGGCUCUGUCCAAGUUUGUAUCUGCUCGACUCUAUAUCUAUA